rnacentral:rRNA from 1 species
UACAGAGGGUGCAAGCGUUAAUCGGAAUUACUGGGCGUAAAGCGUGCGUAGACGGUUAUUUAAGUCAGAUGUGAAAGCCCCGGGCUCAAACCUGGGGAAUUGCAUUUGAGACUGAAUAGCUAGGGUGCGGUAGAGGGAAGCGGAAUUUCCGGUGUAGCGGUGAAAUGCGUAGAUAUCGGAAGGAACAUCAGUGGCGAAAGCGGCUUCCUGGACCAGCACCGACGUUCAGGCACGAAAGCGUGGGGGAGCAAACAGG